UGUCACCUAGUUACUUAUUGAGUCCGAGUUUGCGUCUCUCACCUAUUACAGAUGCUCAGUUUUCUCCUUAUGUUGGUGGGAUGGCAUUUUCUCCUACUUCAUCUCCAGGCUACAGUCCUUCAUCUCCAGGAUAUAGUCCAUCAUCGCCUGGAUAUAGUCCUACAUCACCGGGAUACAGUCCUACAUCGCCUGGAUAUAGUCCUACCUCACCUGGAUAUAGCCCUACUUCACCAACUUACAGCCCUAGUUCUCCUGGCUAUAGUCCUACGAGUCCUGCAUAUUCUCCUACAAGUCCAUCCUAUUCACCCACGUCGCCUAGCUACAGCCCCACUUCUCCGAGCUACAGUCCCACCUCCCCAAGCUACAGCCCCACCUCUCCUAGUUACAGCCCCACCUCUCCAAGCUAUAGCCCGACUUCCCCAAGCUAUAGUCCAACUUCGCCAGUUUAUAGCGCUUAUAGCCCCACUUCACCGGCCUAUAGCCCCACCUCACCAUCUUACAGCCCUACAUCCCCUUCUUACAGCCCAACUUCCCCUUCAUACAGCCCAACAUCACCAUCCUACAGCCCAACAUCUCCAUCAUACAGCCCUACCUCCCCAGCGUAUAGCCCAACAUCCCCUGGCUAUAGCCCAACCUCACCAAGCUACAGCCCGACAUCACCAAGCUACGGUCCUACUUCUCCAAGUUACAAUCCACAGUCAGCCAAAUACAGUCCUUCACUUGCAUACUCACCUAGUAGUCCAAGGUUGUCACCUUCUAGUCCAUAUAGUCCUACAUCACCAAAUUAC
rnacentral:lncRNA from 1 species